rnacentral:rRNA from 1 species
GAUGAACGCUAGCGGCAGGCUUAACACAUGCAAGUCGAGGGGCAGCAUAAUGGAUAGCAAUAUCUAUGGUGGCGACCGGCGCACGGGUGCGUAACGCGUAUGCAACCUACCUUUAACAGGGGGAUAACACUGAGAAAUUGGUACUAAUACCCCAUAAUAUCAUAGAAGGCAUCUUUUAUGGUUGAAAAUUCCGAUGGUUAGAGAUGGGCAUGCGUUGUAUUAGCUAGUUGGUGGGGUAACGGCUCACCAAGGCGACGAUACAUAGGGGGACUGAGAGGUUAACCCCCCACACUGGUACUGAGACACGGACCAGACUCCUACGGGAGGCAGCAGUGAGGAAUAUGGUCAAUGGACGCAAGUCUGAACCAGCCAUGCCGCGUGCAGGAUGACGGCUCUAUGAGUUGUAAACUGCUUUUGUACUAGGGUAAACUCACCUACGUGUAGGUGACUGAAAGUNUAAGUACGAAUAAGGAUCGG